CUUAGCCCUCAGGAAAAACAGAUUUCCCAACUCAGAAAAAGACUAGUCUGUGCAUGCACACCUUUUUUGUGGGGGGGAGGAGUUUCCAACUUAAAGGGAUAAAAUGCAUUUAUUGCUCUUUACGCUGCAUGCUGAGGUGUUUUGGUGGUUUAUUUAUACUACUAUCAUUUUGUUUCUUAUUACUAGCUUUAUGGUUUGUUUUCAUCAAACUACAAAAUUCCCCAUUGAAUUUUGUCAGUUUUGCAUAACAAAUCACUCCUCACAUUCUCUUUGCACAUUGCUUUUCCAUUUUGCUAGCUUCUGUGCAAAUUCCUCCUCAGACCCACAAAUAAGUAGAUGGUCAGUAACAUUUUGCCAUGAACUCUAUUUCAUUAUCUGGAGUGUCCAAAACAUUAUUAUUUUAAAAGCAUGAAUGUCAAUAUAUCUGUAAAAGGCAUUUACCAAGCAGCUCCAGUGCUGGUAGGAAAGAGCGAGCUCAUUUUGAAAGUGCUUCUGAGAACCAUGCAGAGAAUGGGAUAAUUCUGUACUUCCAUGCUAGUACAGCAAUGCAAUCAGAGUAGUAGAGAAGAUUUGCUGUUGCACCCAGGACUAAUUUUCCACACUUUCUUCUAGUGUGUCUUUUCAAGAUAGAACCCAAUUGAAAAGCCCUUGGGUAGCUAACCAAAGAUACUCAACUAAACCUGGAGAGAUGUCCAGUGAAUCAAAUUUUAAAACAAAUUGUUUUUGAAGCAAUAACAUUACAGCGAAAUUUCUUUGCAGCCCUGUUAGACUGCUAUGAGUGGUUAUAGGGUAGUAACAUGCAGUCUUAAUUAGAUAUCUCAUGUGUAAAUUAUUUGCAGUAAAAAUGGAAGUAUGCGAGACUUGCUAGGAUCCAGGCUUAUUCCCAGAUUUGAAAUUCAAACAUUGCGUAUUGAACCUUUUGAUAAAAAUCAUAUCUUGUUUGCUGAAAUUUAUCCUUUUAAAUGCAUGAACUCCUACCAUUAAAUUGAGCUGCACUAUAGCAUUGUGGACACAAGGCUUUUUGAAAGAAACUGGUGGAAGCUUAUGCCCAGCUUAUGCCCAGCCUCUCUUUGGCAUACAGGAACCGUUCACACCUGAAAUUCAAAGGCAAGCCCCUGAGAUGUGAACCGGCAGAAAGGGAAGCAAAUAUUUGCAUAUAUAUGCAAGAGGUGGUUUAUAUGAUCCCACUUUUCUUCUCUUUUCUGGCUGUGGGAUGAUCUGAAGCAAGAUUUUGCUUGUCGGACAUGUUUUUGGGCAAGGAGCCGUUUCCCUUAGCGUUUCACAAGCUCUGGUGGCAGAGAGGUGGUACAUAAAGUCUCGGUGAUUUAGUUUGGUGACAGCCACAAAGAAUCCUGUGAUAUCACAAAGUUAUAUAAUAAAGUGCUUUUACUAUGUGCCUUCUGACUAUCUAUCUUGGUUGUCUUCCGCUUACUUGUUUGUCUCACAUGGACUACUUCUGAAAACCUAUUAACUACUCAGAAAUGUGAAAACUCAAAACUGUUAUAGAAGUGUUUCCUAAAGAAUAUUACUUGAUGCAAAAGAAGCAAAAUUCCUGUCUCGAUAGGUCAUUUUCAGCAACAUGAGUUAGACCGGCAAAAAAAUAAAUCGCAUCAGCUCUUCCUGGAAAGUGUGCACUGCCUUUCAGUAUUUGAAAAAUAAAUGGGAGAAAGACAAAAGAAAAUGAAGCUAAAAUGUGUGAGGAAAAAGCAGAAUUGUAAUAGGAGACAUCAAAUUGUACAGAAGUCUCUGUGACUCUAGAAACCUGUAUGAAUUAUUGCUUUGUACUAAAAGCAUUUUUUUUAACAUCUCUUUGUGAUUAAAUUAUAUUAUGGGUAAAAAUAUUCGGUUUAAUUUCUAUUGAGGUAUACUACAGUAUAUGAAAACAUGUCUACUGUUCUUCUGUGAAAUAGCAUAUCUGUAUUUGGAUAUAACAGUUGAUUGGUGACAUUUCAAAUAAAAUGAGGAACCUUUUUGGCUUUUCUGUCUCUCUCCAAAGAAAAAAAAGGGACUUAAAUGAAGAAAACAGUAAGUAUUUUAUUUUUUUACCUUUACAGGUGGAUGAAGAGUCAUGGGUAUUAAAGGAGAUAUUAAUCAGGCUGUUGUGAAAGAUCUGGUCAAAGGGGACAAGUGUCGUCCUGAGCAUGUUCCUCUCUGGGACAGGAAACUGAUGGAGCAAAGCCCUGAGAACAUGCAGUGACACUUCAUAUUCAGUCCACAGCCCUAUAAAGAGGUGAAAAACGAGCCUUGUCCAAAGCUCUUGCCUCAGCACCCAGUGGCAAAAAUAAAACGUUAGCCUGGGACCAGGUCUCUUUGAAGCAGAUUUUUUUCUUUUUCUGUUUAUUUUUUUUUUUUAAACUCUGCAACAGGCCUCUGGUGGUUACAGGUAUUGAUCGUCAGAAAGUAAUCUGUUCAGGUUUGGGGGCAUGCCAGACCGAAUCCUCGAGUACAUUCCUUCCUCUCCAAGGACAUGUUGAGCUUUUUAUACUGUCCACACUGGCUCACUUGUCAGCUGUCUAGCUUCUUUGUCUUUACCGAUUUCCCUGUUUGUGGGAAGCAUAUAAUUAAAUCUCCCUUUAAAAAAAUUUUGUACAUUGCUACUCUAGAAUUUUCUGCCAGCACUGAAGGUUUUUUACCCCAUGUUUUUAACCCUCAUUUUUCUUCUAUAAUCAUUAUUUGAUUCCCUCUGGCUGCCUGCUACUUAUUUGUAGUAGUACCAUUCAUCCAUUGAGACUUUUCCAUCUGUCACACAGCUUUGCUUUCUCUCCUCAGAAGCUUUCUUUUCCUACUGUGCCAUGCUUGAUUUUUUGGGUUUAGUUGCAUGUUUGUAUGCUCUUUUCAGUAUUUUAAAAAAUGCUUCAGUAUUCAGAACAAAUACAAGAGGAGGAAAAAAACCCUCAGAACAGCAACACAGCACAGGAGCAGCUCAAACCCAUAUUGUGCACAGAGACAGGAUUUGGAGACUGAGAUUCCCAGUGAAUUAAGGAAUCAACAAAUAUAGCCAGUGCCUUAAUGGUAGCCAGACUCUGUUCUCUCUGAAUUGUUGUUGUUGCCUUCAAAAUCUUUCCAGUUUUGUGUUAGAUAAAUAGAGGAUGCUAGGAAAUGUUGCAUACCUUUGCUGUACUGACUCUCUUUGCUGUAUUAUAAAGAAUAUGCAAAAAACCAAACAUACUGAGAUACUGUGGAAUGCAAGAUGGGCAAAAGUCAGCAGCACAAUUCUUCAGAAGGAUCGGGUUUGUUCUGUGUGUCUUCAACUCAUAUAUUUAAUUGUGAUUGUGGUCUAAAUGGGAAGUUCAUGUUUUAGUGGGAAGUAUGUCAAAUGUAGUUUUUGAUGUGAGCAAAAUGAGAUUUUACCUUGCAAUUGACUCAGAUCUCCAAUGCUUUGUCUUGGAGAUUUCACACAGUUACAUACUUUCAAAAAUAUAUUUUGAGUCUCUCUUUAUUAAUUUUCUUGUCUUUUCCUCUAACACUUCUCAUUGUAUCUUCUCAUGAUCUUGUUUCAAAAGUUCCUGCAAGUUUACUGUGAAUCUUAGGAUUAGUAAAAAAGUUUGUGAUGUGUUCUAGAAAAUCCUUUUUCAGUAGAAAUACCUUCAUUCCUUAUAAAAUUAUUUCUCUGGCUAUAUGGGAAAUACUGAUAGUCUACAAGCAAAUAGAAAAGCUGUGCGUGUGUCCUGACUUGAAUGGCAAUCCCCAGGCAGUUCUCUUUUCUACCAGCUACUUGGUUGCACUGUUCUGACAAUGAAGCGAAUGAAGCGUGGGGAAAAAAAAUCAGAAGUUUCCAUUUACACUUGUAUUGGCAGAUGUCUAAAAAUGUAGAUAUUUUACAAAAAUCCUAUUUGUAAAGUCUUGUUCUUGUGGUAGCAAGUGUAAUUCAGACCCAGUUCUUAGAUUACCUGAACUUUAUGUUGUUUUGGAAAGGAAUGGUUCCUUUUCUGAGAUAAUUUAUGGGAAAGAAAAUGGAGAAGAAGGGGGAAGGGACAGGAAUGGGAGAGAGAGAAACAGUUCCUUCGAUCCAUCCUGACCAUUCAAAACGUUUCUAUG